rnacentral:lncRNA from 1 species
GUUUUUUGCUUUGUUUUAUCGCGCCAGCAAGAAACCCCAUCGUGCUCUGUGUAGGAACCAUGAAAAGAAUGUUGAACAAGGAAAGGAGCAUGUUAAGGAGCACGUCAUGAAAGUACCCAAUUGGAGGAUCAACGCCAAACCACUCUUUGAGUUGAUGCAAGGACAUGAUAAGGAAGAACAACAGCCUGGUAACCGAUAAAAUGACCAUUGAAGAAGGGAGAAGCAGAUGGAAUAAGUAGAAACGUCACACUCUUGGUUUGCAUAUCUUUCUCCCCU